UGCGUAGGCGGGGCAAUUAGUCAGUGGUGAAAUCCUGCGGCUUAACCGUAGAACUGCCAUUGAUACUGUUGCCCUUGAGUAUAGUUGAGGUGGGCGGAAUGUGUAAUGUAGCGGUGAAAUGCAUAGAGAUUACACAGAACACCAAUUGAGAAGGCAGCUCACUAAGCUAUAACUGACGCUGAGGCACGAAAGCGUGGGGAGCGAACAGGAUUAGAUACCCUGGUAGUCC
rnacentral:rRNA from 1 species